rnacentral:lncRNA from 1 species
UAGAUCCCACAACUCUUGCUAAAUGAAGGAGGUUGUAAUUUAUUAUAAGAAACAAAAUAGACUUUCAUUUUCAUGACAUACAUAGGAGAGAAUGAGGCUUUUGCGUGAGUUUUUAUGGUUUACGAUUAUAUUAGGGUUAAAAUGGGUGGAAUUAGACGUUAUAUGCGGAGGGAAAGCAAAGGGUUGGGCCUUUUGGAUGAUUUCUAGAUUUACGGUUUAGAUAGGGUUAAAUUAGACGUUAUAUGUGGAGGGAAGACGAAGGGUUGGUUUCAUAAGAUAAAAGUCCAAAAGUAAAGAAUUUGAUAUUUAAUGCUAUUAUUGCUUAGUGGUUCAAUGAAUUUACAUCGUCCAUAUUAAACUGAAUGAAUUUAUUAGCAACAAACUCAAAUAGCAGAUAAAUAGAGAGAGUUAAUUAUUUUGUUAAUUUGAUAUUUAGAUAGAAAAAAUAAUUUUAUUUAUUUAUUUAUUUAUUUAUGAUGAUGAAAGAAUGAAGGGUAACUUGCCACAUGACAAAAAAUAUUGUACUUUCAUUUAGAUUUAUAGAUUACUCUUUCUCUCUUA